UGCUUCACACGUUUCAUUAACAUAACACAUUAGGUAAAUAAUUGGACAUAUAAUAUAAGGCAUCGUCGUUAGAAAAAUAACAAAAGAAGGGAAUAAACAAUCUACGUAUAUAAUUAAAGUGUACUACAAAAAAAGUACAUAAUUAAAAACGACAAAAAAUACAAUUAUAAUUAUUUCACUUAUGGGUAAUAUUUUGACCAAGGUUUUGAUCAAUUAUAAUAUUACAAUUAUUAAAUCAUUAAAUCAAAUUUCAAUUCACCACAAAAAGUGGUCAAGGCUUUGGAAAUUAUUAUCCCAAGACACAUGAUCACGUGUUCCACUAACACUGCAAUGCUUUAAUUUAAACGAAAAAAGGAAUCACUUUUGUUAUCCUUACACUAUAAAGAUGAGAAGAGUCCAUCUAAUUAUAAACUCAAAUUAUUUGACUCAAUAGUGAAUAUUUUUUUGUUGUCUAAAUAAAUCAAGUCAAGGUUAUAUAAAUCAAAAUAUUUAAAAUUUAAAAUUUAUCUCUAUCCAAAUCUAUAAUUAAUUUUAUUUUGAAAAGUUAUUUCUAU
rnacentral:lncRNA from 1 species